CAACCGGAUUUUCUAAAAUCCACCCAACUCACCCAACUAUCAAAGU
rfam:Thalassiosira oceanica strain CCMP1005 To_g05836, whole genome shotgun sequence.